rnacentral:rRNA from 1 species
UACGUAGGGUGCAAGCGUUGUCCGGAAUUAUUGGGCGUAAAGAGCUCGUAGGCGGUCUGUCGCGUCUGCUGUGAAAACUCAGGGCUUAACCCUGAGCUUGCAGUGGGUACGGGCAGACUAGAGUGCGGUAGGGGAGACUGGAAUUCCUGGUGUAGCGGUGAAAUGCGCAGAUAUCAGGAGGAACACCGGUGGCGAAGGCGGGUCUCUGGGCCACUACUGACGCUGAGAAGCGAAAGCGUGGGGAGCGAACAGG